rnacentral:rRNA from 1 species
UACAGAGGUCUCAAGCGUUUGUUCGGAUUCAUUGGGCGUAAAGGGUGCGUAGGUGGCGCCGUAAGUCAGGUGUGAAAUUUCGGAGCUUAACUCCGAAACUGCAUUUGAUACUGCGGUGCUUGAGGACUGGAGAGGAGACUGGAAUUUACGGUGUAGCAGUGAAAUGCGUAGAGAUCGUAAGGGAAGACCAGUGGCGAAGGCGGGUCUCUGGA